rnacentral:rRNA from 1 species
UACGGAGGUGGCGAGCGUUACUCGGAUUUACUGGGUGUAAAGGGCACGUAGGCGGUCCGAUAAGCCCCGUUUGAAAUGUGCGGGCUCAACCUGCACACGUGGCGGGGGACUGACGGACUUGAGGAUGGCAGAGGUAGGCGGAAUUCCCGGUGUAAGGGUGAAAUCUGUAGAGAUCGGGAGGAACACCAGUGGCGAAAGCGGCCUACUGGGCCAUUUCUGACGCUGAGGUGCGAAAGCUAGGGGAGCAAACAGG